CUUGGUCAUUUAGAGGAAGUAAAAGUCGUAACAAGGUCUCCGUAGGUGAACCUGCGAGAGGAUCAAUAUCGAACCUGGCCCCUGGCCACGUCUACCUUGCAACCGUGGAAGCGAACCGUGCUUCGGCGCCUCGGCGUCUAGUUUAUGCUGCAGUUGGUAGUUUGCGUCUGAAUCAAACCGAAGAACAUAAAACUUUCAACAGAGGAUCUCUUGGCUCAAGUAUCGAUGAAGAACGCAGCAAAGCGCGAAAUGUAGUGAACAUAGCAGCACAAUUGUGAAUCAUCGAAUCUUUGAACGCACAUUGCGCCUCCGGUAGCUCGGAGGCAUGCCUGUCUGAGCGUCAUUUUAAACAUGGACCCAGGAUUGGUCCGUAUUGGCGUCGCCCCCCUUUUCAGAGUGCGCGUGCCUCAAGACAUUGGUCUCACAUGCGGACGAGCUCCCUGGGACAGACCGCGUGGAGACCCUAAGCAUCUGACUUUGAUCUCAGAUCAGGUAGGACUACCGCUGAACUUAAGCAUAUCAAUAAGCGGAGGA
rnacentral:rRNA from 1 species